UAGGAAAAGAAAUACGUGUUUCACAGUUAACUGCACCGAACUAGUACUGAACUAAUGUAAAGUUCAAUUAUAUUUACUGAAGUAUAGAAUAGUUUAAUUAGUUUUAAGUUCAAAGAAGUUUAGUUUUUUUAGAUAUAUUAUAGUACGGUUAAUUGUAGUUACAGUAUAGUUCAUUGAACUAUGCCCAACCCUACUAAUGGCAAAUUUCAGAUUGAAAAAUACAAAGUUGUCUGGUUUACUCCAACCAUUGCCAAUUCCCCCAACAAAUAUGGGAAGAUAUAGCCAUGAAUUUCAUUACCGGCAUUCCCUUUUCAAAUGGGCACACUGUUAUUAUAGUGGUCAUUGAUAGGCUUUCCAAAUAUGCACAUUUGGCUAGUUUAAUAGUAAGCAAGUGGCUUAAUUGUUUGUGAAGAACAUAGUCAAGUUGCAUGGCUUUCCAAAGGUGUACACGAGCCAAUUUUGGCAACACCUGUUCAAGUUAGUGGUACUACUUCGAAUUUAAGCAUUGCACACCACUCACUAACAGAUGGUCAAUUUGAGGUAUUGAGCAAGUGCAUUGAAAUGUAUUUACGGUCCUUUACUUAUGAUAAUCCGAAGGGCUGGUCUAGAUUGUUGCCAUGGGUAGAAUUUUGGUACAAUUCUUCCUUCUAUCAUAGUACAGGCAUGACACAUUUCAAAGUUGUUUAUGGUAGAGAGCCCCCACAAAAAUUAAAUAUACUAGCAGCAGCGAAGACCUCUUGAGUGUGUGCAGGAACAACUUAUCCAAAGGGAUGCAACAAUCAACAGGCUGGAGUUAAAUUUGUAAAAGCUACAACAGCACAUGAAGAAAGAGGCAGAUAAAAAAAAGAAAGCUGAUGCAGUUAGAGAUUGGUGAUAUGCUCAAAUUGGUAAGGGUGAUCAUGCUCAGCCAUAUGUACCAUUUCCCAUUACAAAUUCAGAUACAAAGCCAUAUCAGGAAUCAACAAGUGCAAUAACAUUUAAUCAAGUGGGAAGGUUUGGAAGAUAGUCAAGCAACUUGGGAGGAUGUCACUACCAUAAUGCAGGCUUUUCCGAAAUUCAACCUUGAUGACAAGGUUUCUUUUGAAGGAGAAGUUAAUGUAACAAACGUAGCUGCAAAGAGGUUGAUUCAAGAGAAUAAUGGGACCAAAGAAAAGGGACACACAAGCAUUUAAACAAAAGGGUGUAGCGAUAUGCCUAAAAUAACCAAUUGUAAGCUGGCUGUAUUUGAGUGGAGAAAGAAAGGGGGAUGGUUGUAAUAUUUUCUUUUCUGACUCUGAGAAUUUUGUCUCUUAUAUUCCUUUCUUAAUACCAUUAUGAGGAAUUAUUCA